UAUAUUAAUUCCAUCGAUGGUUUGCAUCUGAUUCCAGGUGUCUAGGGGUGAGUGCCCAGAGGUGGCUAGCCGCAGUGAACAGGCUAUCGAGAACAGAAAUGCCAAGUGCAAUCCCGAGAGGCGCGGCUGCCCCAGGAUCUACAUGCCCGUGUGCGGGUCCGACAAGCACACCUACCCUAACGAGUGCGAGCUGUGCAGGAAAAUGUUGGAGGCUCCGGUGAAGACAGAGAUCCGAGUCCGCCAUGAGGGCGAGUGCACUCCCGAGGAGAAUGGAGAGGAGGCACAGGCACCAGGCAGCAAGCCAGGUGGCAGACGGCUGUAGUUGCCAGCUGCCAGGUGCGACAGCUGGUAGCGGAGUAAUCAGUAGCUGCCUUUAAGGCAAAGCUGCAAAUCGAUGAAGAGCAUUGUCAUAAAAAUGUAAUUCUAUUCCAUAUGAAGCCCAGAAAACGUGAAAGGUAGCAUUUACUAAAACUGUUCUGUUAUGGCACUGGUGCCAUAACGUCAAAGAUGUAUAGUGAUGUACCCCCCCCCCCCCAAUAACAUGGCUGUCGGACAGUUGCAGUAUGUGCUGUUGUUAAGUGUACGUUUUCUGACUAUAAAGUCACAGGGCUGGUUCGGUUUGACUAGCUGUCAAUUGAGAAUAUACUGUCUGGAAUUUCUGGA